AUGUGCCACUCUCGAUUUCAAGAUGGGCCGCUGGAGAAGCGGGAAAACCGUUUUACCACUUUCAAAGCUCCCCAGGCAUUUCAAAGAAGUCUCCACGAUUCUAUGAGGGGGGAAACCAGCAUGACAAAGGGGACGUGCCACUGUUCUCUCCGUAUGCAGUUUUGCUUCUUGCAACACAGACCCUGUCCGGCUGUAUUGCUGCUGCUGCUGCUGCUUUUAAAAAAGGAAAACCGCUUCCCUCAGAGUUCAUCUUCUGCAGACUACAAGCUCCUCGAGGGAAGGGGCCUGUGGCCCUGCCCUCCGCGUAAUAGCCGGGGCACGGCUGGGGUGCUAAAGAGCGGCACCAUGGGCCUUUGUGACCGGCGUGGGAGAAAUAAGCACCGUAUUUCAGGGCUGAAGGGGAGGCACUUUUCAAAGAAGGCGUCGCCGCUCCUGCCAGGCAGAAGAAAGCGGAACCGCCUCAGCCGGCGGCCAGCUCACUCCGAGGUCGCGGGUCCUCCCACCAGGCCAGCUUCGCAAGGAAGCCCACGGCCGCCCUCAGCCUCCCCUGCUCUCCCUCAGGCCCCGGCCAAGUCUCUUCCCGCCCCCCUCAGGAAGCCUCAGCCCAGCAGCGGCGCCCGCUCGCUUCCCCUCACCUGUGUGACUCGGGCGCCUCUCCUCAGCCCGCUCCCUCAGCCAUCCGCUCCACGCGCAUCCACUCCCUGCGGCAGAGACGGCCCGCCUCCCGCCAGCCCAACUGCCAGCCAGCGGUUGGCGGAGACGGCUGCCGAUCACGCCGAAGGGGGGCGGCCUCUCCGAAGAGCGCCGUUAGGACGAGGCCAGCGUCUUCCGCCAAAGGGGAGGUUUCAGAGGCACGCUCCGCCGCCUCCGUCGCUGAUUGGCGGAGGGGAGAGAGACGGCGGGGAAGGCUGUCUUUUGAGGGACCAGGGAAGUUUGGUUGAGGGCGCGAGCAGUGACGUGUCGCUCCCGGUUGGUAGAAUUCGGAGUCGGGCAGGAGGGGUGUGGCCACAGUUCUCCACAUGA
rnacentral:lncRNA from 1 species